CUAAGGAAGGCGUGGUCCAGUGAAGGCGCAGCUCCGAAGUUCAACGUCUACUCUACAGCGGUUUGAAGAAGCCAGGACUUCAACUCCCAGAGUUCCCCCGCCGACGUCGUGAUACUGAGGGGAAUUCUGGAAGUUGAAAUCCACACUUCUUAAAAGUUGCCAAAUUGGGAAAGUUUAAAUAAAAAUCACCAGCUGAGAUUUAAAUGGAGGAAUAACAGCUCGGAAAGAUUUGGUCCCAGAUUCCAAUAACAACUUCCAGAAAUUUUAAAACUACAGGUAACCCUCAACUUGCGACCAAAAGUGAGCCCAGAAUUUCUGUUGCUAAGUGAGGCAUUUGUUAAGAGAGACUACGUAGUAAGCUGAUUCUAUAUAGUAGAAUCUGAAAGGUUAUCAAGACAAAAUCUGAACAAUGGAAAGGUUCUAUCAAACAAAGCAUCUGAAAAAACACAAAAGAAAAACUAUUAUCUGAAAGACGGUAUUCAAUUCAUCAGUGCUGCAGCAGAAAGUUGGUGGCUACAUUAAGGUCAUUAUUAGAAGCUCUCAAAGCUUCCAAAGCAUCUACUCGAGAAAAUCCCAUUUCCAUGAGCCGUGCAACCUAUGGAGAAAUAAGAGAGAGGGGGAGAAAUAUUAAAAUUCAUACCAAGCAGCCAACCCAGCAGCGUGCUUUGAAGAACUGAUUCUAAACAGACUUCGCUUGUCAGAAGGUUGCAAAAGGGAUAUGACACUGGGACACUGCAACCGUCAGAAAUAUGUUGCUGAAUGACUGAGCCCAAUAAUUCAUUGCCAAUGAUGAGAAAUGAUCGAAAAUAUCGUUCAGAUUCUACAAUCCUUACAGAUUCUACAACAGCACAGGGAAUCCUGUUCUUAAAUUCUAUGUUGUUUUUGUUUUUCACUGUCUUUCUUACCAUCUGUAAUGAAUUGGAAUGUAAAUAUGCUGCCUCAUUUCAAAAUUCCAACACCUUUAGAGAGAUGUUAAAUAGCAUGGCACCAAAAUACAUUCUUAUUGUAUCUUCAGAUAUGUGACAAAUAAGGAAGGAUAUUUCUCUCCUUAGCACUGAGAGAAUUCUAAGACUGCAGUUACACUAUAUACAUCUGAACCUGUAUGUGUGAUGUUGUGCUACUGCACAUGUUUUUGUAAAUUUCACCAUCACUAUAACUCAAAAUAAUUUUAAGAAGCUUCUGAAUUUAUUAACUAUAUAAUCCUCUUGCUAGUUCAGAUCAAGUUUCAUCAAUCUGACUCUUUAGAUAUGUUUACCAUUACAAAUCUCUCUGAGAAUGGUCAUGCUUGCCGAAUAUUCAAAUCACAAGUAACCAAAACAUCAGUAUGAGUCCAAAUUGAGAAAGGUUUAUUUAGGCUGUCAUGGCUAGAAAACAUGUUAGUGAUAUUUCAACAGGUUUAAAUCAGAUGUGUUCCACCCACAUCCCAUGGGCUUUAUGCAGCCCUGGACAGCUAGCAAUGCAGACCACAAGAUCAUAAAAAAUAAAGGAAGUUUGUUAUUUAUAUACAUU